AUUUUUAAUUGCAGUUUCGUGGUGACCUGCGGAGGAUCAUUA
rnacentral:rRNA from 1 species